rnacentral:rRNA from 1 species
GUACCUUUUGUAUAAUGGGUCAGCGACUUAUAUUCUGUAGCAAGGUUAACCGUAUAGGGGAGCCGUAGGGAAACCGAGUCUUAACCGGGCGUUAAGUUGCAGGGUAUAGACCCGAAACCCGGUGAUCUAGCCAUGGGCAGGUUGAAGGUUGGGUAACACUAACUGGAGGACCGAACCGACUAAUGUUGAAAAAUUAGCGGAUGACCUGUGGCUGGGGGUGAAAGGCCAAUCAAACCGGGAGAUAGCUGGUUCUCCCCGAAAGCUAUUUAGGUAGCGCCUCGUGAAUUCAUCUCCGGGGGUAGAGCACUGUUUCGGCUAGGGGGCCAUCCCGGCUUACCAACCCGAUGCAAACUGCGAAUACCGGAGAAUGUUAUCACGGGAGACACACGGCGGGUGCUAACGUCCGUCGUGAAGAGGGAAACAACCCAGACCGCCAGCUAAGGUCCCAAAGUCAUGGUUAAGUGGGAAACGAUGUGGGAAGGCCCAGACAGCCAGGAUGUUGGCUUAGAAGCAGCCAUCAUUUAAAGAAAGCGUAAUAGCUCACUGGUCGAGUCGGCCUGCGCGGAAGAUGUAACGGGGCUAAACCAU